rnacentral:ribozyme from 1 species
GCCUAGGGAGUAAUCCCUAGGCUUUCUUAAUGUAGCCGUUGGUGGUCCAAAGCCCACAUGAGAAAUACAGAUGGAGAU